GUUGUAAUUUGCAGAGGAUGCUUUUGGCGCGGUGCCUUCCGAGUUCCCUGGAACGGGACGCCAUAGAGGGUGAGAGCCCCGUCUGGUCGGACGCCUAGCCUGUGUAAAGCUCCUUCGACGAGUCGAGUAGUUUGGGAAUGCUGCUCUAAAUGGGAGGUAUAUGUCUUCUAAAGCUAAAUACCGGCCAGAGACCGAUAGCGCACAAGUAGAGUGAUCGAAAGAUGAAAAGCACUUUGAAAAGAGGGUUAAAUAGUACGUGAAAUUGUUGAAAGGGAAGCGCUUGUGACCAGACUUGGGCCCGGUGGAUCAUCCAGCGUUCUCGCUGGUGCACUCCGCCGGGUUCAGGCCAGCAUCAGUUCGCCGCGGGGGAAAAAGGCUUCGGGAACGUGGCUCCUACGGGAGUGUUAUAGCCCGUUGCAUAAUACCCUGGGGCGGACUGAGGUUCGCGCUCCGCAAGGAUGCUGGCGUAAUGGUCAUCAGCGACCCGUCUUGAAACACGGACCAAGGAGUCGUCUUCGUAUGCGAGUGUUCGGGUGUAAAACCCCUACGCGUAAUGAAAGUGAACGCAGGUGAGAGCUUCGGCGCAUCAUCGACCGAUCCUGAUGUUCUCGGAUGGAUUUGAGUAAGAGCAUACGGGGCC
rnacentral:rRNA from 1 species